rnacentral:rRNA from 1 species
AACGAACGCUGGCGGCAUGCCUAACACAUGCAAGUCGAACGAGACCUUCGGGUCUAGUGGCGCACGGGUGCGUAACGCGUGGGAACCUGCCCUUAGGUUCGGAAUAACUCCCCGAAAGGGGUGCUAAUACCGGAUAAUGUCUUCGGACCAAAGAUUUAUCGCCUUUGGAUGGGCCCGCGUUGGAUUAGCUAGUUGGUAGGGUAAAAGCCUACCAAGGCGACGAUCCAUAGCUGGUCUGAGAGGAUGAUCAGCAACACUGGGACUGAGACACGGACCAGACUCCUACGGGAGGCAGCAGUGGGGAAUAUUGGACAAUGGGCGAAAGCCUGAUCCAGCAAUGCCGCGUGAGUGAUGAAGGCCUUAGGGUUGUAAAGCUCUUUUACCCGGGAUGAUAAUGACAGUACCGGGAGAAUAAGCUCCGGCUAACUCCGU